UUAUUCAUUAGGUACUUGAACGAGCUGUAGCGAUUGGUGGCCGAGAGGGCCGGUCAAUUGUUUCUUAGCUAGAGAUACGUGUCACCCUCUACGCGGCGGGAGAAGUUUCGCAUAAAUUAUUCUGAUAAGGUUUUGGGGGCGUGACCGCGCAUAGAUUAGGCAAAUAAGCUGAGGAGGGAGGGGAGGCCGGCUACGAAUUAGCCUAAGUUAUUAAAGAUGGCGGCGGAGCGGAGUCGCUCCCCGAUGGAGUCGCCGGUCCCGGCCUCUAUGUUCGCCCCCGAGCCCAGCUCUCCGGGGGCGGCCAGAGCCGCUGCGGCUGCCGCCCGGCUCCACGGGGGCUUCGACUCGGACUGCAGCGAGGACGGCGAGGCGCUCAACGGCGAACCGGAGCUGGACCUCACCAGCAAGCUGGUUCUAGUGAGCCCUACAUCAGAGCAGUAUGACAGCCUACUUCGGCAAAUGUGGGAGAGGAUGGACGAGGGAUGCGGAGAGACCAUAUAUGUCAUUGGGCAGGGAUCAGAUGGGACUGAGUACGGGCUGAGUGAAGCUGACAUGGAGGCCUCCUACGCCACCGUGAAGAGCAUGGCAGAGCAGAUAGAGGCUGAUGUCAUCCUCCUGCGGGAGCGGCAAGAGGCCGGGGGCCGUGUGCGCGAUUACCUGGUCCGAAAACGAGUAGGAGACAAUGACUUCCUGGAAGUCAGGGUAGCAGUCGUGGGCAAUGUGGAUGCUGGCAAAAGCACGCUUCUGGGGGUCCUGACACACGGGGAGCUGGACAAUGGGCGAGGCUUUGCCCGCCAGAAACUCUUCCGCCACAAACAUGAGAUUGAGUCGGGUCGCACCAGUAGCGUGGGCAACGACAUUCUGGGCUUUGACAGUGAAGGAAAUGUGGUAAAUAAGCCAGACAGCCACGGCGGCAGCCUGGAGUGGACAAAGAUCUGUGAGAAAUCCACUAAGGUGAUUACCUUCAUCGACUUGGCCGGCCAUGAGAAGUACCUGAAGACCACUGUCUUUGGCAUGACCGGCCAUUUGCCUGACUUCUGCAUGCUCAUGGUGGGCAGCAACGCUGGCAUCGUAGGGAUGACCAAGGAGCACCUGGGCUUGGCGUUGGCCCUCAACGUGCCUGUGUUUGUGGUGGUCACCAAGAUUGACAUGUGUCCUGCCAACAUCCUACAAGAAACCCUGAAGCUGUUGCAGCGCCUGCUGAAGUCACCAGGCUGCCGGAAGAUCCCUGUGCUGGUGCAGAGCAAGGAUGAUGUGAUUGUUACAGCCUCCAACUUCAGCUCUGAGAGGAUGUGCCCGAUAUUCCAAAUCUCCAACGUCACAGGUGAGAACCUCGACCUGCUCAAGAUGUUCCUCAACCUGCUCUCCCCUCGCACCAGCUACCGGGAGGAGGAGCCUGCCGAGUUUCAGAUUGACGACACCUACUCCGUCCCGGGUGUGGGGACCGUGGUGUCUGGGACGACACUGAGGGGCCUGAUCAAGCUGAACGACACGCUGCUGCUGGGCCCAGAUCCCUUGGGUAACUUCCUGUCGAUUGCUGUCAAAUCCAUCCAUCGCAAGCGCAUGCCUGUCAAGGAGGUGCGCGGGGGCCAGACUGCCUCCUUCGCACUGAAGAAGAUCAAGCGCUCAUCCAUCCGGAAGGGCAUGGUGAUGGUUUCUCCACGCCUGAAUCCCCAAGCUUCCUGGGAGUUUGAGGCCGAGAUCCUGGUCCUUCACCACCCCACCACAAUCAGCCCGCGGUACCAGGCAAUGGUGCACUGUGGGAGCAUCAGGCAGACGGCCACCAUCCUGAGCAUGGAUAAGGACUGUCUGCGCACUGGGGACAAGGCCACCGUUCAUUUCCGCUUCAUCAAGACCCCUGAGUACCUGCACAUAGACCAGCGGCUGGUGUUCCGGGAAGGCCGCACCAAGGCCGUGGGCACCAUCACUAAGCUCCUGCAGACCACCAACAACUCCCCAAUGAACUCCAAGCCCCAGCAGAUUAAAAUGCAAUCAACGAAAAAGGGUCCCCUGCCCAAAAGAGAAGAGGGGGGCCCCUCUGGAGGGCCCACAGUGGGGGGCCCCCCACCAGGAGAUGAAGCUUGCUCCCUAGGGGCCACCCAGCUGGCUGCAUCCAGCAGUCUCCAGCCACAGCGAGAGAGGUGAAUGCCUGCAUCAGGUUGUGAGGAUUCAGCGAGAGAAGGAGCAUGAGGUCCCGAUGUGCCCAGCAUGUGGGAGGUACCCGGUGCUGUGGAAUUUCAUGUGGGACCUUGAAACAGGCAGAACCACAUUUGGUUGGCUGUCUCUUGCGUCUGUGAACAUAACCACUUCCUUUACAUUUAGACGCUAUGGCUUCCACCCUGGCCUCUGCCUUCACUCAGGUCAGUCUUAUCUCUGUGGUCACCGGGCCCCCACCUGCUAGCCAGGGGACUGACGGCAGCAUUUUACUGUCGUUGGCUGGGACUGCAACGGUCCUGUAUGAGUCUCAGCCCUACGCACUGUCUAUUUGGAACAAACCACCAGCCCUUUCAUAGCUGAUGAAGAAAAGUUGUUAAUCCAGUCAUCUUAAAUGGCAAAUCCUGACCUUCUGCAAUGCAGUUAGCAUGUAUGGCCUUUUUGAAUUCAUCCAGGCCCGCUGUUCUGGCCUCCUGACUUCCCCAGCACCAGAAUAAGGUAACAGGAACAUGCCAUGGUGCAGGGAAGAGUAGGUUUGACUGGGAUCAUGAGACGGACCAUGGAGAAGAUGGCCAGGUGCCAUGGUCAGGAUGAGACAUAUGUUGAGUCCAGAUGGGGAACCACCCCUGGCAGGCUGUACCAUGAAGGACUCAUGAGAUUUGAAUAUGUACAGACAGGCCCCAGAGGGCAUGAGCGGAGGCCCUUAGCUCUGUAUGUGGUCGGUUCCAGAGACCAUUUACUGGUGCUGCUUAGGGAUGUGGCCUUUGUUGAAAAAUGGUGGUAAAUACAGUGCCGGUGUUAAGUGAGACAGGAGGCAAUGAAGCAAGCGGCUGCUGAGCAGUGCGCCCUGGGACUGGCUCUGUCCAGGUGUGGAGAGCUGAGGGCUUGAGCAACUGGCCCAAAGCCUUGGGCCUGGCUGUGGAUCCCACCCGGCACCCUCUCCUAUAGCAGUUCACCCCCAGCUCCUCCCUGCUGACUUGUUCCUGCCUUUAUUUUCUCAGCUGUGAUGGGGCCCAGCCCUGGGCCAGGUGCCAUGGUCAGGAUGAGGCGUAUGUUGAGUCCAGAUGGGGAACCACCCCUGUCACCUGGAGCUGCUCAUUGGAGGCACUGAAUCUGGGGAGAUACAUGCAGGCAAGGGCCAGGACCUGCUCCCCGGAACUUGCAAGAGUCUGACUCUUCAGGGGACCUACCUCGUCCCAUCCCAACACAGGUACAAGGGACAAGGGUCUAACUCCUGUGGAGGGGGAUUGCGACAUCAACGUAGACGAGCUGAGUCAAGUGGGUCACUCCUAUCUCCUGCUCCACUGAGAGAUGCAGGACAAGCCUCCUGCUUCCCGGUGGACAUCAGUGGUAGCUAAUAAAGCCACCUCCCUUUCUCCUGCCACCGUCAAACCCAGGAGUCACCAGAACAGGGCCAGCCUCGGGUCCCAUCUCCCAUCACAGCUGAGAAGCCUGGGUUUCUAAAGGUUAGGUUUCUAAAGCUUAGGAGGUAAGCCUUUGCGACAUUGUUUUGGCUAAGAAUCCUUUCUCUUUUUCCCAAGAGCAGAGUCCCAUGCAAUGGCCAGAUAAGAACCACACCACACACUCCAUUAACCCUGGGCAUAAUUUAUUUUUUGCAUAGGCAUAAAUUAGAAUCUGGAGAUAAAAAAAAAAUUAAGAACCAAUAGUGCAGCAUUUGUGACAGGAGAGCGCAAACAAAACCUGGUUGUCUGGAGGCAGGGGCUGGUGCUGGAACACACAGGGGUCUGUGGGGCCUCUCCUUUGUUCCAGCCACAUCUCGGAACUCUUCCAAGGGCACCCACCUACACAGCAGCCCUUCCUGCCCCCUCCCCACAGGCCACAAUGAACCACAGAGUCAGAACCAGUGCCCCAGACCCCUCUUGGCAGCCAGGUUACAAGGAACUGCAUUCACCCAAGGCCCCACAGAACGGGGCUAGAAAUCAAGCCCUUAGCUUCUCGGUUAAAAAAACAAGACCUUGAAAAAUAUAUACACAAUAGAGCAGGGCCUGCUGGGUCCAAAAGCUCCCACCUCAGCCCCGCCUCCUUAGCCAACCCCACCCCCACCCCCACCCCGACUGCUCCCCAUAGAAAAUGAGUCAGAAUAGAAACAAUGAAGCAAGAGCUGAAUGAGCCCCCCAGGGAUGGCUUAGGAUCAGGGGCCUUAUAGGGUGGGGCAGGGCCAACAGUCUACACCACCCCACCCCAGCAACACCCUGAAUGUCACUCUCAUCGUGUCACUGGGCCACCACAAGAGCCCAGGGAGCUCCAUGAACACUGCUGGCUGCCCCCAAAGACAGGUUUGGACACCUACACCCUGGGGGAACGUGGCAAGCUUGCUCUGGGGACUAGGUGGGCCUGAGCAGGAGAGGGGAGCAGAGCGGGCCCUAGUCCCAGCAUCAGGAGAGAGAAGACAACUGCUGUCCCCAGCAGAGAGGCUCCUAGAGGCUCCCAGGAGCCAGACCCUCCAGGGUACAAGAAGCCCCUGGCCCACCCUGACCCAGGACACACACAGUGUGCAGAAGCCCUUCAGGAAUGCUGUGGGCCUUGGCUGAGGGCACUGGUGUCUGGAGGAGCCCAGCCGCCCUCUCCCAGGAGCUUCGUGCCUGGGGACCAGUUCCGACCUGCACCCUGAGCACCCUCCUCACUGAGGGAGGGGGCACAGCCCAGCUGCCCCAGGCCCUAGCCUGUCUCACCCACAGCUUUGGCACCUGCUUCAUCUGCGCAGCUCCCGAGGUGUCAGUCCCUCACACAGGCCAAGGGCAGGCAGGUCUGGUCCACCUUUGCUGGACCACGGGCAUCACCCCGCUCUUCCCGCCUCAGUUCCCCACAACAUGCUACAUAUAUACACCCUCCCAGGAGGGAGAAGACGCCCAGUGCUUGGCACGCGGAGAGCGAAGAAGGAAGAGCGAGAAUGGAGCCUGCUGACUGCUCAAGCCGCCCGUGGCACAGGAAAACCCCACAUGUUCUUUCAUCUCCACUGCGCCAGGGCUCCUUUCUUGCUCCUGGAAGUCAGUGCGCUUCAAGCGUGUGCGGGGAGUUGGGGGUGCUGCGCACCUAACCCCAGAGAGGGGGCAUGGCCGGCAGCAGCACAGAGAAAGCCUAGUGGGCGGGCUCCCCAUGCACCCUGAAGCGGUAGAUGCAGGUGUACUCGGGGUGGCCCCAGUUAGUCAGGAUGCGCAGCUCCACCACCUGAUACGUGGCCAUUUUAGGAUCCUGCAGAGAGAGAAGCAAAGGCUAAGAAUUCGCAGACUGGAGGGGAGACGGCCAUACCCAGGGCCAGACACCCUCUCCCUCAGGCCUCUGCAGAGAAACCAGACUUCAAAAAUCUGUCUUCAGGCCCUGGAACAGAGUUUCCAGCGGGUGGGCCAAGAAGCCCCAGAGGCUUCCGAGGUCCUGCAGGGGCCGAGAAUGCACGUUAAGGCUGCGUGAAGCACCCACGGCCACAGAAACACCACCUUACAACUGAACAUGAGCACGAUGCAUCCUGAACUGGGAAAAACUCACAGGAGCUCCUUUUGACCAUGAGCAGGACUACCUUUUAGGAGAGUCUGAUAUAUGCUGAUGUUGAAAAAGAAUUCCUUCACCAUGAA